UUCCCAGACUCCUACGGGAGGCAGCAGUGAGGAAUAUUGGUCAAUGGUCGGGAGACUGAACCAGCCAAGCCGCGUGAGGGAUGAAGGUACAGAGUAUCGUAAACCUCUUUUGUCAGGGAACAAAGGCGGGGACGUGUCCCCGGAUGAGUGUACCUGAAGAAAAAGCAUCGGCUAACUCCGUGCCAGCAGCCGCGGUAAUACGGAGGAUGCGAGCGUUAUCCGGAUUUAUUGGGUUUAAAGGGUGCGCAGGCGGUCUGUUAAGUCAGCGGUCAAAGCCCGGGGCUCAACCCCGUACUGCCGUUGAAACUGCAUCCCUUGAGUGCGCGAGAAGUAUGCGGAAUGCGUGGUGUAGCGGUGAAAUGCAUAGAUAUCGCGCAGAACUCCGAUUGCGAAGGCAGCAUGCCGGCUCCACACUGACGCUGAGGCACGAAAGCGUGGGUAUCGAACAGGAUUAGAUACCCUCGUACC
rnacentral:rRNA from 1 species